rnacentral:rRNA from 1 species
UGGUGGAGUGAUUUGUCUGGUUAAUUCCGUUAACGAACGAGACCUUAGCCUACUAAAUAGUCGCUACAAUCAUGAUUGUCUGCGACUUCUUAGAGGGACUUUGUAAGCAAAUACAAGGAAGUUUGAGGCAGUAACA